rnacentral:rRNA from 1 species
UACGUAGGGGGCAAGCGUUGUCCGGAAUCAUUGGGCGUAAAGAGCGCGUAGGCGGUCCGGUAAGUCCGCUCUGAAAGUCCGGGGCUCAACCCCGGGAGGCGGGCGGAUACUGUCGGGCUAGAGUACGGAAGAGGCAAGUGGAAUUCCUGGUGUAGCGGUGGAAUGCGCAGAUAUCAGGAGGAACACCUAUAGCGAAGGCAGCUUGCUGGGACGUUACUGACGCUAAGGCGCGAAAGCGUGGGGAGCGAACAGG